rnacentral:rRNA from 1 species
UACGUAGGGUGCGAGCGUUGUCCGGAAUUAUUGGGCGUAAAGGACUCGUAGGCGGUUUGUCGCGUCGGGAGUGAAAACACCGGGCUUAACUCGGUGCUUGCUUUCGAUACGGGCAGACUAGAGGCAUGCAGGGGAGAACGGAAUUCCUGGUGUAGCGGUGAAAUGCGCAGAUAUCAGGAGGAACACCGGUGGCGAAGGCGGUUCUCUGGGCAUGUCCUGACGCUGAGGAGCGAAAGUGUGGGGAGCGAACAGG